CAGUACACACGUUAAAAGGCGGCCCCUGGGGCUUGCGGUUAACAUUCCAUAUUCCCAUGAAGGGGGCCGAUAUAUCCUUUGAACGAUUAACUUUAACAAAAAAACACUCAUCUCGUCCGGCUAGGAUGAUGGGAUGUAUGUUCAAGUUCUAAAGUUACGUACGCAGCCAAACGUGCUAAUCGAAGGAUAUACGUUUACACACGUGCACUAACGUACAACACGUGCACUAACGUACAACACGUGCACACACCGAACUUAUACACGCAGUUCAAAUGGCGAUUUAAUUCUAAACGCCUUCGCUUGAAGGCCAAAACCCGGGGCGGCUUUCGCUCGCAGCGUUUGUAAAGCAGAUUUUUUUAAACUUCUAAAUGGCGGUGCAAGAAAUGUCUCGGCCCUUGUUCCAAAAUCCUAAACCAAAACUCGUACGACAAACGAAUUGGAUAAAGCGUGCGUGCGUGGAGUCGUAAUUCGGUUAACCGUGCGAGUCUGGCGAGGCCUAGUCGAGAGAGGCCUGUGGCGCCACCGUCAACGUACGGACCACACAGCCCCCCCCAGCUUGGCGCCCCCUUGUAGCCAGUGCCGCGUUCAAUCGACGUGCAUCCAUAGCCGCGAAGUAGUAACAACGCCAGCAGAGCUGAUCAACACAAACAAACGCCGGGGGCAAGUGGAACGUGCGCGGGGCUCCCACGUGACCGGCAAUGGGGG